rnacentral:rRNA from 1 species
UACGGAGGGUGCAAGCGUUACUCGGAAUCACUGGGCGUAAAGCGUGUGUAGGUGGCUUCAUAAGUCUGGUGUGAAAGCCCGGGGCUCAACCCCGGAAGUGCAUUGGAUACUGUGAAGCUGGAGUAUGGGAGAGGAGAGUGGAAUUCCAGGUGUAGAGGUGAAAUUCGUAGAUAUCUGGAAGAACACCAGUGGCGAAGGCGGCUCUCUGGACCAUUACUGACACUGAGACACGAAAGCGUGGGGAGCAAACAGG